GGAGGUGGUAGCUCAGUGGUUAAGCUGUUGGCCUUCUAAUUGGAAGAUCAUGAGUUCAAAUCCCAGCACCACCA